GGGGCACAGAGAGCUGGUAGCACAUGAUGGUUCCCUCCUCGCCUGCUGACCUGAAGGACUGACUAAAGCCUAGAAUGGCACUAAAUGUCAGCCAAGUAUAAGGAUGUUCUACCUGACAUCUUGGGGACUGGAGGGCCUCAAAGCACCACAAGAGUUUCAGUGCAUGAAAUUCUGCUGUGUUAAAAACUUCUCCAAAGACCUCAG
rnacentral:lncRNA from 1 species